CCUACGGGUGGCUGCAGUCGAGAAUCAUUCACAAUGGGGGAAACCCUGAUGGUGCGACGCCGCGUGGGGGAAUGAAGGUCUUCGGAUUGUAAACCCCUGUCAUGUGGGAGCAAAUUAAAAAGAUAGUACCACAAGAGGAAGAGACGGCUAACUCUGUGCCAGCAGCCGCGGUAAUACAGAGGUCUCAAGCGUUGUUCGGAAUCACUGGGCGUAAAGCGUGCGUAGGCUGUUUCGUAAGUCGGGUGUGAAAGGCGCGGGCUUAACCCGCGGACGGCACAUGAUACUGCGAGACUAGAGUAAGGGAGGGGGAACCGGAAUUCUCGGUGUAGCAGUGAAAUGCGUAGAUAUCGAGAGGAACACUCGUGGCGAAGGCGGGUUCCUGGACAUUAACUGACGCUGAGGCACGAAGGCCAGGGGAGCGAAAGGGAUUAGAUACCCCGGUAGUC
rnacentral:rRNA from 1 species